rnacentral:rRNA from 1 species
UACGGAGGGUACGAGCGUUGUUCGGAAUCACUGGGCUUAAAGGGCGUGUAGGCGGAACGCAGGGUGUUGGGUGAAAUCCCCGGGCUCAACCCGGGAACUGCCCGGCAAACCGGCGUUCUUGAGGCAGGUAGAAGUGACUGGAACGAUGGGUGGAGCGGUGAAAUGCGUAGAUAUCCAUUGGAACGCCGGUGGCGAAAGCGGGUCACUAGGCCUGUCCUGACGCUGAUACGCGAAAGCGUGGGUAGCAAACAGG